rnacentral:rRNA from 1 species
UGAGGAAUAUUGGUCAAUGGGCGAGAGCCUGAACCAGCCAAGUAGCGUGCAGGAUGACGGCCCUAUGGGUUGUAAACUGCUUUUAUAUGGGGAUAAAGUGGGGAACGUGUUCCCUUUUGCAGGUACCAUAUGAAUAAGGACCGGCUAAUUCCGUGCCAGCAGUCGCGGUAAUACGGAAGGUUCGGGCGUUAUCCGGAUUUAUUGGGUUUAAAGGGAGCGUAGGCCGUUUGGUAAGCGUGUUGUGAAAUGUAGGAGCUCAACUUCUAGAUUGCAGCGCGAACUGUCAGACUUGAGUGCGCACAACGUAGGCGGAAUUCAUGGUGUAGCGGUGAAAUGCUUAGAUAUCAUGAAGAACUCCGAUUGCGAAGGCAGCUUACGGGAGCGCAACUGACGCUGAAGCUCGAAGGUGCGGGUAUCGAACAGG